CGUGAGAUGUUGGGUUAAGUCCCGCAACGAGCGCAACCCCUAUUGUUAGUUGCUACGCAAGAGCACUCUAGCGAGACUGCCGUUGACAAAACGGAGGAAGGUGGGGACGACGUCAAAUCAUCAUGCCCCUUAUGUCCUGGGCUACACACGUAAUACAAUGGCGGUCAACAGAGGGAUGCAAAAUCGCAAGAUGGAGCGAACCCCUAAAAGCCGUCCCAGUUCAGAUUGUGGGCUGCAACCCGCCCACAUGAAGUCGGAAA
rnacentral:rRNA from 1 species